CUGGCAGGGAUUGUAACUGUG
rnacentral:miRNA from 1 species